rnacentral:rRNA from 1 species
CACGUAGGGGGCAAGCGUUGUUCGGAAUUACUGGGCGUAAAGAGCGUGUAGGCGGUUGGAAAAGUCAGGUGUGAAAUUCUUCGGCUCAGCCGAGGGACUGCGCCUGAAACUUUUCGACUGGAGUUCGGGAGGGGCAACUGGAAUUCCUGGUGUAACGGUGAAAUGUGUAGAUAUCAGGAGGAACACCGGUGGCGAAGGCGGGUUGCUGGACCGAAACUGACGCUGAGACGCGAAAGCGUGGGUAGCAAACAGGAUUAGAUACCCUGGUAGUCCACGCUGUAAACGAUGAGUGCUAGGUGUAGGGGGUAUCGACUCCUUCUGUGCCGCAGUUAACGCAUUAAGCACUCCGCCUGGGGAGUACGGCCGCAAGGUUAAA